CUAUUUAUUUACCGUGAGUAGUUGUGUAAUAUACGAGUUUUCUAUUUAAAUUAUAACUUAAUAAAUAGUCGAAUUUUAUUUUCAAUAUAAUUUUUUUUAAGUGAGUACUAUAUAAAGAGCUUGAAGUUUAGCAUUCAUAAUGCAGAACAAAAGAGAAUCAUAGAGUUGAAAGACAAAACCUUCAGAAAAAAUGGCAAUGCACAUUAGCAAACUUUUUCUCUUGGGACUUUUAUGCAUUGCAUUGGUCCUAUCUUCCGGUGAGAAACUAGGAGCAACCGGUAACAUUGCAGGUGAGAUAUGCAUUGGUGGACCAUGUCAAGAUUGCGGCAGAAGAUGCCUUAUAUGGGGAUUUCAGAAAGGUGGCUGUAAUUUAAGUUCAUUGUGUUGUUGCAGUGAUCCUUUUUGAAAUAAAUUACAUUAUAAAUAUAUAUUACGUAAUAUCGAAUAAUAUAAAUAAGACACAUUUUCUUCCAAAUCUUUUAUUUUCAUGCUUGAAGCAUACAUACUUGAUGUAUGGUUUGAGCAGAAGUAAAAGUGGAAGAUUUGAAAGAAGAAUGACUUCUUCAACUUAAAGACAUGGCGUAUAGAAUUAUGCAUUCAAGAAUUGGGGUGAAAACUGUAUCGAUUUAAAUAUUAUGUAUCAUGGGUGUAAAUUAUAGUUUAUAUCCAAUGAAACAUUAGUAUUUUAUUUUA